GCGGGAAUAGCUCAGUGGUAGAGCGUCACGUUGCCAUCGUGAGGGUCGGGAGUUCGAAUCUCGUUUCCCGCUCCA
rnacentral:tRNA from 1 species